UCGGGUAUGGUGUAGCGGUAACAUCGUUGACUCUCAAUUCCCCUUUGGGGUAGAGGUGUCACUCAACAGCCCCGGGUUCGACUCCCGGUAUCCGAG